ACGACCCUUCGGGGUUAGUGGCGCACGGGUGCGUAACGCGUGGGAAUCUGCCCCUUGCUUCGGAAUAACAGUUAGAAAUGACUGCUAAUACCGGAUGAUGACUUCGGUCCAAAGAUUUAUCGGCAAGGGAUGAGCCCGCGUAGGAUUAGGUAGUUGGUGGGGUAAAGGCCUACCAAGCCGACGAUCCUUAGCUGGUCUGAGAGGAUGAUCAGCCACACUGGGACUGAGACACGGCCCAGACUCCUACGGGAGGCAGCAGUGGGGAAUAUUGGACAAUGGGCGCAAGCCUGAUCCAGCAAUGCCGCGUGAGUGAUGAAGGCCUUCGGGUCGUAAAGCUCUUUUACCAGGGAUGAUAAUGACAGUACCUGGAGAAUAAGCUCCGGCUAACUCCGUGCCAGCAGCCGCGGUAAUACGGAGGGAGCUAGCGUUGUUCGGAAUUACUGGGCGUAAAGCGCACGUAGGCGGUUACUCAAGUCAGAGGUGAAAGCCCGGGGCUCAACCCCGGAACUGCCUUUGAAACUAGGUGACUGGAAUCUUGGAGAGGCGAGUGGAAUUCCGAGUGUAGAGGUGAAAUUCGUAGAUAUUCGGAAGAACACCAGUGGCGAAGGCGACUCGCUGGACAAGUAUUGACGCUGAGGUGCGAAAGCGUNNNGAGCAAACAGGAUUAGAUACCCUGGUAGUCCACGCCGUNNNCGAUGAUAACUAGCUGUCCGGGCACUUGGUGUUUGGGUGGCGCAGCUAACGCAUUAAGUUAUCCGCCUNNNNNNUACGGUCGCAAGAUUAAAACUC
rnacentral:rRNA from 1 species